GCCGCAGUCGUCUAGGGGUAAGGACACCAGUUUGUGGUUUGGAUUAAUUGCAAGUCACUGGAAACCGAGGUUCGAGUCCUCGCUGCGGCA
rfam:Pochonia chlamydosporia 170 chromosome 7, whole genome shotgun sequence.